rnacentral:SRP_RNA from 1 species
GCCGGGCACGGUGGCUCAAGCCUGUAAUACCAGCACUUUGGGAGGCCGAGACGGGCGGAUCACGAGGUCAGGAGAUCGAGACCAUCCUGGUUAACACAGUGAAACCCCGUUUCUACUAAAAAAUACANNNNNNNNNNUGUAUUUUUUAGUAGAGACGGGGUUUCACCGUGUUCGCCAGGAUGGUCUCGAUCUCCUGACCUCGUGAUCCGCCCGUCUU